AGGUGUACCAGGCAGACAUUUUGGAAUGGUUAAGGACUGAUAUGUCAGAACAGUUGAUGCUAAAGUAAUGCUGCAGACAGCAUCAGAGGUCAUAUGCAUGUUUUUCUGCUCAGUCUGUGAAGGCAUUCACAAUUGUUUCUCUUGGAUGCAGAACUCAUCCCAGUUCUGCCUUUGUGACAGCCUGUGAGUCUGGAUCAAUGGAAGGGGAAAAGUAGUACAGCUCACACUGUAAUGAAAUGCAGGAAACAUCAAUAAAAACACCACUCACAGUUUUAAAGAAGGAUUUUGUAUAAAUGUGAGAAGGAUGUGUAGAAAAAGCUUGUUCCAAAAAGCAAAUAAUUAGUAAGA